UACGGAGGGGGCUAGCGUUGUUCGGAAUUACUGGGCGUAAAGCGCGCGUAGGCGGACCUGCAAGUCGGGGGUGAAAGCCCGAGGCUCAACCUCGGAACUGCCUUCGAUACUGCGGGUCUCGAGUCCGGGAGAGGUGAGUGGAAUUCCUAGUGUAGAGGUGAAAUUCGUAGAUAUUAGGAAGAACACCAGUGGCGAAGGCGGCUACCUGGCCCAAUACUGACACUCAGGUGCGACAGCGUGGGGAGCAAACAGG
rnacentral:rRNA from 1 species